rnacentral:tRNA from 1 species
GGAGAUGGUUGAGUCACUGGUGGGCUCCCCGGGCUUCAAACCCGCGCGCGGGGUGAGAACAUCGCUUCGGGUGGGUUCGAUUCCCACGCAUCUCCGCCA